rnacentral:rRNA from 1 species
GUUUUGUGGGGUGCUCGAGUGGCGAACGGGUGAGUAACACGUGAGUAACCUGCCCUUGACUUUGGGAUAACUUCAGGAAACUGGGGCUAAUACCGGAUAGGAGCUCCUGCUGCAUGGUGGGGGUUGGAAAGUUUCGGCGGUUGGGGAUGGACUCGCGGCUUAUCAGCUUGUUGGUGGGGUAGUGGCUUACCAAGGCUUUGACGGGUAGCCGGCCUGAGAGGGUGACCGGCCACAUUGGGACUGAGAUACGGCCCAG